GAUGAACGCUGACAGAAUGCUUAACACAUCAGCAAUUGAUUGGUGGCGGACGGGUGAGUAACGCGUACAGAACUUGCCUCACAGCUAGGGACAACAUUUGGAAACGACUGCUAAUACCUAAUACUGUGAGAGAUCUUUGCGUCCCCUUGGAUAGUUGGAGAGGUAACGGCUCACCAAUGCGAUGAUGGGUAGCCGGCCUGAGAGGGUGAGCGGCCACAAGGGGACGGAGACACGGCCCUUACGCCUACGGGAGGAAGGAGUGGGGAAUAUUGGACAAUGGACCAAAGUCUGAUCCAGCAAUUCGGUGUGCACGAUGAAGUUUUCGGAAGGUAAAGUGCUUUCAGUUGGGAAGCGGUACCAACAGAAGAAGUGACGGCUAAAUACGUGCCAGCCGCCGCGGUAAUAC
rnacentral:rRNA from 1 species